rnacentral:rRNA from 1 species
UACAGGGGGUGCAAACGUUGCUCGGAAUCAUUGGGCGUAAAGCGCACGUAGGCGGUCUGUUAUGUCGGAUGUGAAAGCCCUUGGCUUAACUGAGGAAGUGCAUCCGAAACUGGCAGGCUAGAGUACUAAAGAGGGUCGCGGAAUUCCCGGUGUAGAGGUGAAAUUCGUAGAUAUUAGGAGGAAUACCUGUGGCGAAGGCGGCCUUCUGGACCGUUCUUGACGCUGAGACGCGAAAGCGUGGGUAGCAAACAGG